rnacentral:rRNA from 1 species
UGAGUAACGCGUGAGAACUGCCUCUAGGUCGGGGACAACAACUGGAAACGAUUGCUAAUACCCGAUGUGCAGCAAUGUGAAAGAUUUAUUGCCUAGAGAUGAGCCCGCGUCUGAUUAGCUAGUAGGUGUGGUAAUGGCGCACCUAGGCGACGAUCAGUAACUGGUCUGAGAGGAUGACCAGUCACACUGGGACUGAGACA